GUAGCAGCAGCUGGAGACCGAGCGCCGCUCAUUCUCCCAGGACUGCGCAGUCUCGCUCAUUCAAAGGAGCCUCUGUUCUCAUUAAUACCUUCGCUUCAUCAUCUUUGUCCAAAGCUUCCUGCUCCACUUUGUCCUGCUGCCCCCACCACCACCACCACCACCAACCCCCGCCAACUGAACUGCCGUCUCCCCCGUCAGUGCGCAGCAGCAGCAGCAGCAUCAGCUGCUGGCACUCCCACAUCUGCUCGUUUCAGCUCGGCGGCCAUGAAGAGGACGCCGAGCCUCGGCUCACGGCGAAAGGCUGGAGACUCGGUCCGAGCAGCGACCUCCUUUACGUGGGGAAGGAGGAUAAACUGCGCCAGCACAGCGGGGAAGCGCACGUUGUGCAGCUUUCUCCUAGGAUGGAGGGAGAAGCGGAAGAAAGGGAAGAAGCCAUGAUCUCUUCCCUCCCUUUUAUGCUGCGGGACAGAUGGAACCUGAAGAGCUAAGAGUUGCCUGAGCGGCCCUCGUGUUUUACGCUUUGCAAGCACUGCAACUGACCAGCGUUGUACGGGCUGGACUCGUCCCCAGAGCUGCUGACCCGGCACCGAACAGGACUCUGGGAGGAUCCAACGACAGGGCAGGUUAUGUGUUAUCUUUGUUAAAAUUGCUGGAGCAGAUUAAUCUUCACAGAUCAGUUUCUGGUCGUUUAGUUAUCAGUGUUAUGUUCUUGUUUUGCGAAUAAUGAAAAGCUGCGACGGGAAAGAACAGGAGCCAGAUCCCUUUGGGGUUCUUGAUAGGACAGUUGGGUUGCGUCCCACUUUUCUGCUGCUUUGUGUUGUGUGUCCCAUCUCCAGUUACACUGAUGAAAAAGCAGAUUUGGCCUCAACCAGAUCCCAUUGUGCCCCAGCUGGCGUUCCUUCAUCUCCUUUGCUGCGCUGCCUUACAGAGCGUGCCAGAGUCUUGUGCCGUGAUGCGUCUUCGAAGGAAAACCUUCAGCACUAGUGUGUCUCUCUAACAAGAGACAACGUCUGCCUCUGUUCAUCAGCCAAGAGAAAUUAGCUAUUGCUUUGCCAUCAUUAUCUGUUUAAUCGUGUGGCUGCUGGAAGGGACUUCAUUCAGAACCGCUUGCUGCACUGUUAAAGCUGUUUGAAAGCUUAAUUCAGUCCCUCUCCUCGUACGUUUUCUGUUGAUUCGAUGCAUAGAAACCUUCACUGUGAAUCGACUCCACCUGAGUUACAUUUUCUUGCAACUGAUCGUUUCUCCCAAGCUUUCACCUGUUUAUGUAACGUUACCGUCUGUGUCUUUUUGUGAAAACUGGCCUGCAGUGUUUCCAGAUCCAAAUCUAUGAGGGGUUUACAUUCAAGGCCUGUACAAACAAAAAUAUUAUGUGCCAGUGUGUGAAAACGACGGCUGUUCUCACCUUCUAAUAAUGUGUAAAUCACACAUUUCUGUUUGUUGAGAAACCUCACGAGCUCAAUGCGAAACCAGCUAUUUUUACUGUACUAUUCUUCAGUCGAACUGUAGGGUGCGUGUGUGUAUGUGUGUGGGAUGAACGCGCGAGUGUGUGUGUGUGGGAGAGUGCAUGUGUUUCUCUGCAUGCGCUCCAUCUGUGUUAGUGGCAGUACCUGUGCACGUGUGUCUCAUCAGUCCGAUAAGAUGUGUCUGUAAAUGGCCUGAAACUGCCUCUAAUAUUGUUUCUAGCCACUGGAUGUACCAGAUGAGGGAUAAAACAUUAUUUACUGAUGAUUCUUAGCAUUUGUUACGGCCUCAUUUAAAGAAAAAAGAAAGAAAAAAAAAUCAGAGUUACUUGUGAUUUAGAUCACAAGGAUGUCAUUGGAAAUUAGUGUGGUCCAGUUUUCUCAACGAUGCCUGCUGGCAAAAGUCAGACGGUUUCAGUGCCAGCAGCCCCAUCAUUUAACACUUAAGCAAAUUACAGCAAAUGCUAAUAAUGAUGUGUAAAUAGCCUUUUACCCACGUCUGGAUUGCACUAACAGUAUCUGACUAAUAUCUAACAGUACUAACGUCUGCUAACAGUUGAAGGAUUACUAACCCGUGUUGAGAAUGCAGACGGCUUGCAUUUCUAACCCACUAACUUCCCUUUCUGCUUUAUGCACACUUCAAAAUGCACACUUCUCUUGCAUGAUCCUGCAAUUCUUCUUUUAGAGAUGUCCAACUCGGAGAUCCCAAAGCGAGCAUGGAAAGAAGGGUUUCAGGACUGAGGAAGGGCAACGUUGAAAACGUAGAAGAAAAGCAGCAGCAGCAGCUGCUGAGGUCAAACUCGGUUGACCACAUACUUCACGAAGUGUAAUCUGAUCCCAAGCGAUUUCAUUUUAAAGGCUAACUUUGUAUGCUUUUAAAAAAAUUUUUAUACAGCAGUUUUCUCUCUCUCUGAUUGUAUUCUGUGUGGUCAACCCGGCCUUUUUGUCCCUGCAGGUAGUAACUAACUCCUAAUAGUGCUCAUACUAACAAUGUAGAGGCUGUAUCUGCCACUCUUACUAACAUCUUCCUGUCGUCUGAUUGAUUUCACGUUAAUUAAAGCAUGCUGUGGUACCAGUGAUGCUGAUUAUAAGACAGUCAAUUGGCUUUCCCACCCCCCAAAAACAUCAACUUUCCCAAGUGUGUUUUAAGAGCUGAGUUGAGGUUUUAUCUCUUAAAAAGCAACUUAAAUGUUACUAACCAGAGGAGCUUCCAAGAGCUCUGCAAACUAACAAACUAACCUACUAAUAAACUAAUUUUCUAACCUUCACUAACUGAAAUCACUAACUGUGUUUUUAAUGUGACAUAGCGCCUUCAAACCGAGGAGCUGCAUUGCUUCCUGAAUGUAUUUAAGAGUGUUUGAACGGCUGUUGGAGAAGAAAGAGUGCGUGCUGUAGUCAAAAUCACCAAUAUUCUUUAUAUAAUUGUCAUUACAAAUAUUUUUUAAAGUUACACGUUUACACCAAAAUUGGUGUUGUUCCCUCACCAAAAACAUACCUGAAAUGUUGCUUUCAUUCUUUCAUGCAUGUUGGAGAAAUCCUUGAAUCUGCUGUGGCAACCAUUCAGCUGUGUUAUAUGAGCCACGUCUCAGUGAAACUGGUAGAAAUGUUGUGAAAGAGUUAAUAUUUGUGAUGGUGUCCUGAAGGCAGAGUGUGAGAACGAGAAAGAUCUUCCUAAAGAAACAGGCCUAAUUUGAAAGUUUAAAUUACAAAGUCAAAUUUCUUUUAAGUCAAUUUGAUCUAUACAGCAUUUUCAUAACAACUGAGUUAUUUGAUCAUGU